CCUACGGGAGGCAGCAGUGGGGAAUAUUGCACAAUGGGCGCAAGCCUGAUGCAGCCAUGCCGCGUGUGUGAAGAAGGCCUUAGGGUUGUAAAGCACUUUCAGCGAGGAGGAAGGCGUUGUAGUUAAUAGCUGCAACGAUUGACGUUACUCGCAGAAGAAGCACCGGCUAACUCCGUGCCAGCAGCCGCGGUAAU
rnacentral:rRNA from 1 species